AUUGAACGCUGGCGGCAGGCCUAACAAAUGCAAGUCGAGCGAGCGGAGGACGGGUGAGUAAUGUAUGGGGCCUGCCAGAUAGAGGGGGAUAACUACUGGAAACGGUGGCUAAUACCGCAUACUAUCGGAUAACCCAUAUGGGAUUAGCUAGUAGGUGGGGUAAAGGCUACCCUAGGCGACGAUCUCUAGCUGGUCUGAGAGGAUGAUCAGCCACUCUGGGACUGAGACACGGCCCAGACUCUAACAGAGGCAGCAGUGGGGAAUAUUGCGCAAUAGGCUCAAGCCUGGUGCGGCCAGGCCGCGUGUAUGAAGAAGUCCUGAGGUUUGUAAAGUACUUUCAGCGGGGAGGCGGUACCCGCAGAAGAAGCACCGGCAAGCUCCGGGCCAGCAGGCACGGUGAUAC
rnacentral:rRNA from 1 species